rnacentral:rRNA from 1 species
GACGAACGCUGGCGGCGUGCUUAACACAUGCAAGUCGAACGGAAAGGCCCUGCUCUUGUGGGGUGCUCGAGUGGCGAACGGGUGAGUAACACGCGAGUAACCUGCCCUUGAAUUUGGGAUAACUUCAGGAAACUGGGGCUAAUACAGGAUAGGAGCUCCUGCAGCAUGGUGGGGGUUGGAAAGAUUCGGUGGUUGGGGAUGGACUCGAGGCUUAUCAGCUUGUUGGUGGGGUAGGGAAUUACCAAGGCUUUGACGGGUAGCCGGCAUGAGAGGGUGACCGGCCACAUUGGGACUGAGAUACGGCCCAGACUCCAACGGGAGGCAGCAGUGGGGAAUAUUGCACAAUGGGCGGAAGCCUGAUGCAGCAACGCCGCGUGCGGGAUGAAGGCCUUCGGGUUGUAAACCGCUUUCGCCUGUGACGAAGCGUUAGUGACGGUAAUGGGUAAAGAAGCACCGGCUAACUACGUG